rnacentral:rRNA from 1 species
GUUUGCUAGACUACUCCCAACCCCUGUGACAUACCACUUGUUGCCUCGGCGGAUCAGCCCGCUCCCGGUAAAACGGGACGGCCCGCCAGAGGACCCCUAAACUCUGUUUCUAUAUGUAACUUCUGAGUAAAACCAUAAAUAAAUCAAAACUUUCAACAACGGAUCUCUUGGUUCUGGCAUCGAUGAAGAACGCAGCAAAAUGCGAUAAGUAAUGUGAAUUGCAGAAUUCAGUGAAUCAUCGAAUCUUUGAACGCACAUUGCGCCCGCCAGUAUUCUGGCGGGCAUGCCUGUUCGAGCGUCAUUUCAACCCUCAAGCACAGCUUGGUGUUGGGACUCGCGUUAAUUCGCGUUCCUCAAAUUGAUUGGCGGUCACGUCGAGCUUCCAUAGCGUAGUAGUAAAACCCUCGUUACUGGUAAUCGUCGCGGCCACGCCGUUAAACCCCAACUUCUGAAUGUUGACCUCGGAUCAGGUAGGAAUACCCGCUGAACUUAAGCAUAUCAAAAAGGCGGGAGGAAGAU